CCUCCUUUCUCCCGCAUUUGAGGCGACUUUGGCUUUGACCUUGAGGCGCCCCUCUGUGCUCACCCUGGAGGCCCUCACACCUUUGACCUUGAGACACCUCUUCCAUCAGAGCCUGAGUGGCCUCCCCACUCGGACACUGGGCUACUGCUGGUGGUAGCGUUCAGCUCUUGGAAGCAACCUGAAGGAGAAAGACAGAUGUCUGCUCAUGUCCCAGCCCCUCACACGCACACCCCUAAACUGGAACCAGGAAGCCCAGGGAGUCCCCAGCAGCCUCCUGUGUGUCUGCUUGUCAGGGUUGCCUGCCAACAGCUGACCCCAUCUUCCUCACCCUCCCAGCCAAGGACCACCUUGGAGGAACCUACACACCGUCUUCCUCAAAACUGCCAGAGGCAGCCCAGGAGCAGGAAGGGACGGCCUGCCAGGGUUACCAGUCCCUCUUAAGGACACCCCUACUUUGUUCUUGUGGCAAAGACACGAAGUCCUGUCCAGCCCCACAAUAGGCGCCUGACUUUUCUAUUAUUAAGGAUAAUCCUCUUUAGCUCUUUCUUGGUUUCUGGAAGGCAAAAUCAAAUGAAAUUCAAGAAGUGGAAUUUUAGGCCAGAGGCUAGUCUAAAAACUGCAAGUCUUUAUAAUUAACAAAAGGAAUCUAAAAAAAGAGAUGAAAUGUCGCUGCUCCUUUGCAGCUGUGGAGGAAGGAGCAUCAUUUUGCAUUCAUAAAACCACUUAAAAGAACCUGAUUUCAUAAGGUCUUAAAUUGAGAACUCUCACAAGAAAUGCCAUCUUUAUGCAACAUGAAUGUGUGAAUAUUCAUAACAGUAACCAAAUGGGAAUGUUCUCUGUGAAAACAAAUCUGUCUUUGGAAGAGUUUUGAACAAAGACAUCUGGUACGAGUCCCAAGCCUUCAGAAAUUAUUGCCAUGAACUGUGAAAAUAGCCUCCAACCCUGUCCCUCUGUAAUUCUGAUCUGUUGUCUUACUGGAUCAUUUAUUUCACUGGUUAUAAUGAUGUAAUAGAUAUCUUCCGCCGAUGUAGUCCCAAGAGAUAAUAUACUUGUAAAAUUUCUGUCAAUCAGAAAAUAAUCAUUUGUACUUUCCUUCUUUUGCCCAUACACAAUGUCACAAUUGAAAAGCUUGUGACUUUGCUAGGCUUAUUAUUUAACCAAUCAUUUGAGAGCCUGUUUCAUUUAAAUGAACAGACCCAGGGCUCACAGCAUCCAUCCUGAUGAAUUCUAAUCACCUGCUUAUUGUCACACUCUCUCACUAGGCUGCGAUCUCCUCAGAGAUGAGGACAAGUGACUAGCCAAGUCUCUUUUGUCCCCUGUAUUUCCCCAGUGCCUGGCAUGAGGGUGGCAGCUUGGAGCUGCCAUUCCGUUCCGUCCCCGCUGGAGGACAGGGAGGACAGACAGCCAUUCCCAGCACUCUCUCCUUUGAGCCCCAGCUUAGCUUCAGGAUCCUCCUGGACACAGUGCCUGAGAUGGCUGGCACCAAUCAGGUGGAGUUGGCAUAGAAAAGAAAACCUGGGGCUUCCCAGGUGGCUCAGUGGUAAAGAAUCCUCCUGCCAAGGCAGGAGACGCGGGUUCAAUCCCUGAACUGGGAAGAUUGCACAGGCGGUGGAGCAACCAAGCCUGUGAGCCACCACUAUUGAGCCUGUGCUCUAGGGCCUGGGAGCAGCAAGUACGGAGCCCAAGGGCCGCAACCACUGAAGCCUGUGUUCUGAAACAAGAGAAGCCUCUGCAAUGAGAAGCCUGAACCACAGCUGAGAGUAACCUCUUACUGCAACUAGAGAAAAGCCUGUGCAGCAAUGAAGACCCAGCACAGCCAAACAUA